rnacentral:lncRNA from 1 species
GCAGCACUUGAGCACCUGCCCAUCUUCUAAGGUUUUAGAUUGGUUUCUGAAAUUCUUCCUCUCUCUAAUCCUCUAGCCACUCAGACAUCCUUUGCUCAUUCACUAGAAAGGCACAGAGCAGCUGGUACCUGCUUGGUCUGACAGCUACCACCACAGUGAACAGGACCUGGGUCUAGAACCUGUAGAGAAGAGAAGCCACUUCUAGAGAAGGAAACCUAGUUUUGGAAGCAUCUAGCAGUGGUUCUCAACCUUCCUAAUGCUGCAACCCUUUAAUACAGUUCCUCAUAUUGUAGUCACCCCAACCAAAAUUAUUUCAUUGUUACUUCACUAACCACAAUUUUGCUGUCAUGAGCCAUAAUGUAAAUAUCUGAUAUGUAACCCCCCCCCCAAAGGAGUUGCAACCCACAGGCUGAGAACCAUGGAAACCAAUGAUCUAGAGAGAACUCUGUGGAGGUCAAUUCAGACAGCAAAAAAAAGUGAAUGAUAUAAAAAGCAAGCUAAGAGUAAGCGAGGCUGACAGCUCGCAGACAGUGAACUCGGGCCUCUCAUACACUAGGGAAAUGCUCUUCCAGCAGCUUUCAAAGGGCACCUUGAACAUGCUUCUCUGAACAGGCUGCAUGAAAGAAAGAAGUCCAAGAAAAUCAUUAAAGUUGAGGCCAUUGGUGGGCAUGGAGCAGUUCACACUGGGCCCUCACUCAUAAUCAGUGGCUUCAGUGUGGAGGAACACACUGGAAAAGGAACUCGGAUGGAAAGCUGGUAUUAAAUUCACCUUCUUCAGGAUUCCAAUGUGGACUGAAAACCAGCAUCUCUCCAGGAAUCCUCUAUGACUCCAGC